AAGAGCCGCGGGAUUGAAGUGGAAUAUUAUCAAUAACAUUCGAGUGCCAGCUGACUUUUGAUCUGCACCUGAAACACUUCUCUCUCUCUAUUCCACAAUCAAAAAAUGAAGUUAUUCUGCACCUUUGGUUUGAUGGCAGUUGCCAUUAUCCUUGGAACUUGUUCCGCUCUGCCAGCGCACAACAAACUCGGCGAUGUUAUUAUGGAGAACGAGCAACGGAGCAAGUACUAGACCCUGAUGGACCAAUGAUUCUGCUCUGGACGAUCAUCAACGAAACCAGCGAAAUUAAGAUGGAACUGCAAACCAACUGUACCGGUUGGAUGGGUUUCGUAUUUGGAAAUGGCAUUGGUCAACCAGGAGCCAUUGGCGACGGAGUUAUUGGUGGAUACAAUGACGAACUCGGUCUGGGUUACAUUGAAGACAGAUGGAUCGAUAUUAGUGUUAGGCGGUGAAAUUGAUGACAAUUCCAACGUCGUUUUGGUGAGCGCAACUUACCAAGAACCAUGGAGCAUUAUUCGGUUCCGACGCAACAUCGACACCGGAGAUUCGCAAAUGUUAUCAUCAGGCCUGGACCAAUGUUAGUCGUCUGGAGUUAUGCCGAUUCUGAUGACACGCCGAUUCCUCAUGAGUCAUGACCAAGAUACGCCAGGCGCUUCCUACUGUACGUGACAUUCAUCAAUGAAUAAAGUGUUUAACGAGUCCAUCAAGCUAUAUGACCUUUGCAGGACCAACUGGAAAUAACGAUAAGCAUUGGGGGAUAAAUUAUUAAAUUGGGGAUUGAUUGGUGCUUAAGUAGAGCAUCUAACUGUCAGAAAAUUAAAAAUUACAGAUUAAAUAUACAGGUUUAAUCUAAUAAAUACCGACAUUUCCGUGUUUUA